AGCGCGACCGCGACCGCGGCCGGGAGCGCGAGCGCGCCGAGCGCGAGCGCGAGCGCAGACGUAGUCGUUCACGCAGCAAGAGCAAGCGGGAGGGUUCUCGCGAGAAGUCACGCGGUCGAGACAGAGAUCGCGAACGCGAUCACCGUCGUAGCAGAUCUCAUCGCUCUUCGUCGCGCGAGCGGAGACGCGACUGAUUGCGACCUGUCAGACAUGUCAAAAUCCAGGGUCCAGUUAUCAUAAUUUAAGAGCCCCAAGUGUCUGGUCGUCUGAAAUCCUUUUGUUGUUUUUUACAUGUGUAGAAUUUGUUUAUAUAUGGGGCGCUUAGAGGAAAAUUGAUUCGAAUUCAUUUUAAAAAUAGAGCUUUAAGUUAAAAUUAGCAAAUCCCUUUUUUUUUCUAUAUAGGUAUUGACAAAAAGUUUACCUUACUUUAAUAAAAAAUAGAUAUGCAAUAAAAUGUAUUUAAAGGAAAAUACUUUUUUGGUGAUUAAAAAAUAUAUUACAGAACUAUUAUAUUAAUCCUGGGAUUUUAGAAAAGAAACCGAAUCUGAGCCUGGGCUAAAAGGCAUAAUAAAUCAAAAUAUAUAAAUAAUACGCAAAAAAAAAACAUUCAUAAAUAUUAAUUUUUUUGUAUUUCGUAAUUUGAUGAAUAACAGCCAAGAGAAUAAAAACAGUUUUUGAAAAGUGAAAAUAGCAGGAGAUUAUUAUGACAUAGCUAUGCAAUUAAACAUUCAUAGUUUGAGUUUUUAACAAGACAAUAUUUUGCUUAAAUUAUUUGAUUUAUCAUCAUAGUCUAGGAUCCCGGGUCCAUUUUUGCACUUGAUUACUAUCAAGCUAAUUUUCCGUAACUAGCCUCAUUUUGAUGAGACACUCAAAACUCUCGAUUGUGGGAGGUAAUAGGGGUAGCGGGGAUAAAAUAUGUUGAGUUGAUGAUUCUCAAAAAUGUAUUACUAACUAGGUUUUUUUUGUUAAAUCUGAUGAUAAUUAUCUAAAUUACUCGAUAAAUUAUUUGUCCUACAAAGUGUUGGUUUGUUCAAAACAUUUUGUCCCCUCCUUCAACAUGUAUGUAAUAUUAUAUAGUUAAUAUUUAUAUAAUUUAACAGUCAUAUUGUCCUACAAAUUGCUUGGUACGUUAUUCCGGUUCCUACGCUCAGAAAUUGUUAAUACCUCAAGACAACUUUUCUCAUUACAAACAGUAGAAAAAAUAUUACAUAAUGGGUUAGUGUGUUUUCUGACCAAACGAAACAAUGUUCUACAAGAAAACAGGUAUGUAUCACUAGUCUGACAAGAAUUGUCAUUUUUUUGACUUCCUAUACAGUGAAAACAUCUUUUUUAAAAUUUAAAUAACUUUAUUUUUUAGUAAAAUAGGUACAAAAAUUUGUGUAUAUAUAUGUUGCAGUCAAAACUCUUAACCAGUCAAUAGCACUAUUGACUAGCAAAAUCAGUCAGAAGUACUUUUGACCGUUUGCUUUAGUCAAUAAUACUUUUGACUAAAAUAACAGUUAAAAGUACUUUUGCCCAAUGGAGCUGGUUAAAAGUACUUUUGACUAAAUGAUUCCGUCAAAAGUGGUUUUGACUGGUUGUAUCAGUCAAAACUCUUAAAAAUUUAAGGUGGUCAAUAAAAAUAACGAAAAACGCACAUAUAAACUUUUAUAUUACUCAUUAUUAGUGGAGAACGUGCUGAUAUUAGAACAAAAAUGAGUGACUACGAAAAGAAAGAAGGCUUUUUGCAAAGAAUUUUAGCGAUGGAAGAUAUGAAAGAUAGUCAUUUCAAUAUGAUGACAAAAGAAAAAUUUGAAAAGUUUGCAAUGGAUGUGGAAGACGCAAAAUUUAAUGAAAAGGAAACACCAUUACAGUACAGUAGACUACAACGCUUCAACACAUUGAAGUUUGUGGUAUAAAAAAAUUAGUUACAAACACAGAACCUGUCAAAUAUUUUUGCCGGCUGAGGAAAUCUACGACAUUAUUGAUGCUGCUCAUAUUUCUAUAGGGCAUGGUGGUCGCGAUAGACUUAAGAAUGAAACGGCAAAAAAGUACGCUAAUUUUACAAAAGAAAUGAUUAAUGUAUAUUUAUCAAUGUGCGAAGUAUGCCAAAGGAAGAAAAACAAGAAAAGGAUGGGCCAGGUUUAGAAACCGAUCCUGCACACUGAAAUGAACAGCCGCUGCCAAGUCGAUCUGAUUGACAUGCAGUCGCAAGAAGAUCGCGGGCAUAAAUUUAUUAUGGUUUAUCAGGAUCAUUUGACUAAAUUUAUUCACAUUCGAGUUAAUAGUGCUUUUGACUGACGCUUUUUUGCAGUUAAAACUACUUUUGACGGAGAGCGUCAGUCAAAAGUAUUUUUAACCGCGAAUUUGCAGUCAAAAGUACUAAUAACCAAUAAUUUUCAGUCAAAACCACUUUUGACCAACUUGUUCAGUCAAAAGUACUUUUGACUGAUUUCGCUAGUCAAUAGUACUUUUGACUGGUUAAGAGUUCUGACUGCAACAUAUAUAACACAAAUUAAUAUUCAUCAGAUUCAUCUGAUAAAUCUUCACUAUCUUUGCUACUAACAUCGCUGUUAUCUUCAUUUUUCUCAUUCGUAAUAUCUGACUCUAUAAUAACAUUAAUAAAUUAAGAAAAAUUAUAUACCCGUAUAUGACGCAUUGGUGCAGCGGUCAUAGCACUGGCUAUUGCGCUGGCGGGCUGUUUCGGGACCCCCAACACAGGAGAAAAUCCUACUGGGGGUCGCUGAGUGUGAAGUGUCUAUUUAUUAUUAAUUAUAAUAAUGAAUAAUCUAUCAAUAAAUAAUAAUAGUAUGAAUACCUUGUAUGUCAAUAUAAUAUAUAAUUCUUCAAAAGAUGGACUUCAGUUAUUGUCCAUCUAAAAUAUUUUGGCAAUUUUUCCGUGGGGCACUGCAUGUGUGCAUAAACCAUAUAUAGUAGAUGAACGCAGCUCUUGUAAUUUGUUGUACCUAUUCUUGUUUUAUUGGUGGCAAAUUUAAACUUACUUUUUUAUUUUUAAUGUAUUUAUACACUCACAUAUACACACAGACAUUACAUACAUACCUGUCCCCACACCUACAGACACACGUAUGAAGGAGGGGACUCUGAUCAAACCAUACAUUUUGUAGGACAAAUAUUUUUUUUUAAUAGUUUAGAUAAUUAUCAUCUGAUUUAACCAAAAAUAUCCAAUUAGUAAUACAUUUUUGAGACUCACCAACUCAACAUAUUUUAUCCCCGCUACCUCAAUUAUCUACCACAAUCGAGUGUUUUCGUACAGGAAAUUGUUGGGCGUCUCAUCAAAAUGAAGCUGCUCACAGAAAAUUAUCUUCAUAAGUAGUCAAGUACAAAAAUAGACCCAGGAUCCUAGACUAUUACUAAUAAGUAAUGACAUAUGACUGGUAUCUGAAUAUAAAAUCGAUUUGGUAAAUAACUAUAUUAUGUACAAAUUGAUCACUCUUCCGUUGAGCGUCUCAUUUAAAAUAUAAGAAUGCUAAACUUAAAGGUAAUUUCAUUGACUUACGCAUAAAUGGACCGUACGUUUCUCCUAGUAACGGCGACUUGUAGCGAUCACUAAUAUAAUAUAAUUUGCACAGCAUAUUUAUAACUUAUUUGUCCUAAAUGUUUUGGAUUAAAUCUUUAUUGUUAAGCCUUAAAUGAAGCAACUUUUUCAAGAGUUGUCGAAUAUCAUUGACAAAGUUGACAAGUUUAUGUAAAAAUAUAAAGUUCUUCCAUGCUAGAGACCUGGGUACUUGGCUAUGCUUCAAGAUUUUAAUUUAACUUUUCUUAGUCUAUGUAUUUUUAAUAGUUAAAAUACUAUGACAAUUUCAAAAGAAGAAUUAACUGUGAUAAGUCUUUAACAUCAAAUACUUUAAAUAGCGUGUCAAUGACCUUGAUUCAGAUUUCAGAGUAUGUAAAGAUUUUUGCCUUACUUAAUAAAUAUUCAAUAAAGCAUUGUUAUGAAAUCAAGAGUCAUAGAAAUUGCAAUUAUAUGAAUUACAGUCAGAAGCUUUUAUUAUUUGUUCAGACCAUAAGGAGUAUAAUUUAAAUAACUUAUGAAGAUCAUAUAAUUGUUUUUGGAAUGGGUUCCAAUAUUAAUAUAUAUAUAAUGUUGUAGGUUCCAUGAAUAUUAUAUGGAUUGUAUUGAAUUUAACGCCUUACUCUGGAUUAUGUAAUAGAAAAAAAAUACUUAUUGAGUAGGUUUAACUACAUACAGUAUACAAAGUAUGAUAAUUAAAUAACAUGUUUUACCAUUUUAUCAUUGCUAGACUAGUCCAGAAUAAUGCUGAAAUAAGUGUAAGGUUUUAUAUUUGAUAGUGUAAUAAAUUAAAUUUUGUCUUGUAGCUACUUUUACGAAAAAUUAACUAGACACAAUAUGCUUGAAUUUAUUUUUUUCUUUCUUUGAUUUAUUUCUUCUUGCUUUCAUGCAAAAUAAAAAUUAAAAACUUAUAUCACAACAAUAUAUUACAAUGUUUACAUAGCCAUUUUUUUGCAAAGCUAUGUUAAUAGAUUGCCACUACAUCUCUGACCAUUAAAUCGAAUUUCAUUUUUAAGAAUGGAAAUGUUUUACUUAAUUUUUAACCGUCGCGGUAAUUCACAUACAAAAAUAAUAAAAAAAUUAAUGUCUGUACUAGUUAUUAAUUUAAGUAGGUAGCAUCACAUGGUUUAGAAGAAUUCAUUAGUAUUGAUUUGUGUAAACUUCUAAAAGGUAACUUAUUAGUUUUAGUCUUUAAACUGCGUGGUGAAUAAGGAAUUGAAACGUCAAUACUGAUCAUUUUGUAGUUUUUUGUUAUCCUAUACAAAAAGACCUAUUUAACUGCGUUUUUGUUUUAAUAUGUAACAAUACAACUAGAUAUUAUUGUUUGCAGUUAAAAUUACAUUAUAGCAGUUGUAUAUAUUGUCUCUUUUAUGUAACUGUAUUUUGACUUUCACAAAUCUGUACACAGUAUCCCAUCAUAAAAAAUACACAUCGACCUUUGGAAAGAGAAAAUCUGCUAAUUUAAACUUCGUGAAGCGUUGCCUCUGACGCGCAUGACCUACGUGACGUAUGACUAUCAGUAAUUCAGUAUUUCAUGUGACUGAUCUGAUAGUGUAAGAUCAAUAUGUUGAAAUCCGUACGAAAUAUUUUCGUAACUCUUCAUACUACUAUAUAUAUUUUGUCAAUCGGAAAAUAAGCAAGGUUCAUGGACUCUAACUCGCUACAAAAUCGAAAUAAGCCGAUAGCCUCUUUGCAAAGCUCGGAUGUGCAUUAUUUAUGACUGGGUACUACUAUAAAUACUUUAUUUUACUUUGGACUUUUGUGUCAAAAAUAUUUUCUGGUUUUAAUUCUAUGUCUAUAUCUUAAAGUUUAAAGAGGGGUCCCUAAUUUUAAAAUUUUGUUAAAAUAAAAUAUGUAAUGUAAGUAAUUUUUGUUUUAUUAACCAAUAUUUAUUUCUAUAAAUGGUGGACUUGGUGAAUUGACAUAACAUGAUUUAGCUACCGUGUUUUAAAAUGACAAUAUGUUUCAGCUACCAUAUUUUCCAUACCAUAUUUUCUGUAACACAAUAAUAGAGAUUCUGAUAAUAGAAAGAGAUUAACAUCAGCCAUUUUGAAUAUGAAAAAUAACGUUUUAAAAUUUACAUAAAUUUUAAAAUUUGCUUAUUUUUAAAUAAAAUACAAGCUACACCCUUAAUCUCUCUUUCAUAAUUUUAGUAUUCACUUAUAAUCUAGUUUUUAUAGGUAACACGAUAAUAAAGAUUAAAAGAACAUAAGCACCAGCACACAAUUUACAUAACUAAGCAUAAAAUAAAGGACCCCGCACAAUUUGUAUGGAAAAUGGCUCUCGGCUAAAUUGGCUGAAAUUUUGCAUAGGGGUAGCUUUCAACAUGCUGAUCGAAAGUCUCAAGGGGCACAAACCCCCAAGUUCAACCCACGACCCUCUACAGCCCCCCAAACCCCCAAAAUGCACUUUACAAUAAUCGACUGCAGUUUUGCGAAGAAAUAGGCACCAACAUGCUUAACAUAAUUCUAAACUAUACCCCCUCAAAAUAGA
rnacentral:misc_RNA from 1 species